rnacentral:tRNA from 1 species
GUAGGUAUAGCUCAAUGAGUGGUAGAGUGCAUGCUUAGGAUGUACGAGGUCCUGGGUUCAAUCCCCAGUACCUCCA